CUUCGGUUGGCUCCUUCUCUGCAGGAUUCCUGGUUUUGCGCUAGGUGAAAUUUUGGGCAACAGCAGGUCUGUGAUGCUCCUCAAUGCUCUGGGCGACACGCGCACUACAAUGUCAGUGAGAACAAGAAGACCUACGUUUCGUAGGACCCGCCUGACCACAAGGGCGGGGAAACACCGGAAUCACAUCGACCCAAUUGGGACCGAGUAUUGCAAUUAUUGGUCGCGUAACGAGGAAUAUCUCGUAGGCGUAGCUCA
rnacentral:rRNA from 1 species